CGCUGGCGGCGAGCCUAAACAUGCAAUUCGAGCCAAGGUAAUCUCGUAAGCCUUGGUAUCCCGAGGUUAGCGGCGGACGGGUGAGUAACACGUGGGUAACCUGCCCAUAAGACUGGGAUAACUCCGGGAAACCGGGGCUAAUACCGGAUAACAUUUUGAACUGCAUGGUUCGAAAUUGAAAGGCGGCUUCGGCUGUCACUUAUGGAUGGACCCGCGUCGCAUUAGCUAGUUGGUGAGGUAACGGCUCACCAAGGCAACGAUGCGUAGCCGACCUGAGAGGGUGAUCGGCCACACUGGGACUGAGACACGGCCCAGACUCCUACGGGAGGCAGCAGUAGGGAAUCUUCCGCAAUGGACGAAAGUCUGACGGAACAACGCCGCGUGAGUGAUGAAGGCUUUCGGGUCGUAAAACUCUGUUGUUAGGGAAGAACAAGUGCUAAUUGAAUAAGCUUGCCCCAUGUCGGACCUAACCCAAAAGCCACGGCUAAAUACGUUCCAACAGCCGCGGGUA
rnacentral:rRNA from 1 species